CUAAUCUUCAAAAUCCAAACAUUCCAAGCCCCGUCCUUUUGUGCAGGCAUCUCGCUGUCUGCGCUGGGCACGGAGCGGCGCGCGCGCGCCCGCCUUUCCCUCGGCGGCCCCCGGCGGCUCGGACCCGGGCCGGCAGACAGGCCAUCCAUCAUCCGCCCUCCUCCCGCCGAGCGCCGCCGCCGCGGCCAAUCCGGCGGCAGGUGGGACCGCACCUGCGGGACUGCCCGCCGCUUUCCUCCGCUCUCUUCGCCGCGCCUCGCGUGCUAGCGGUGUCCUUGUGAGCCACUGCUUUCUCCAAGGCCAGAACGGGACAGCAAAAAAGGCAGAAGAUUAA
rnacentral:lncRNA from 1 species